ACGAACGCUGGCGGCGUGCUUAACACAUGCAAGUCGAACGGUGAAGCGCCUUCCUUUUUGGUGGGUGUGGAUGAGUGGCGAACGGGUGAGUAACACGUGAGUAACCUGCCCCCUUCUUCUGGAUAACCGCAUGAAAGUGUGGCUAAUACGGGAUAUUCUGGGUCUGUCGCAUGAUGGGUCUGGGAAAGAUAUUGUUUCGGUGGGGGAUGGGCUCGCGGCCUAUCAGCUUGUUGGUGGGGUGAUGGCCUACCAAGGCGGUGACGGGUAGCCGGCCUGAGAGGGUGGACGGUCACACUGGGACUGAGACACGGCCCAGACUCAUACGGGAGGCAGCAGUGGGGAAUAUUGCACAAUGGGCGCAAGCCUGAUGCAGCGACGCCGCGGGAGGGAUGGAGGCCUUCGGGUUGUGAACCUCUUUCGCCAGUGAAGCAGGCCUGCCUCGUUUGUGGGUGGGUUGACGGUAGCUGGAUAAGAAGCGCCGGCUAACUACGUG
rnacentral:rRNA from 1 species